CGGCGUGACCUAACACAUGACAAGUCGUACGAGAAAGCCGGCUUCGGCUGGUGAGUAAAGUGGCGCACGGGUGAGUAACGCGUGGAUAAUCUGCCCUUUAAGUGUGGAAUAACGUACCGAAAGGUGCGCUAAUACCGCAUAAUGCCUGGCAACACAAGUUGUCCGGCCAAAGAAGGCCUCUGUUUACAAGCUUUCGCUUCAGGAUGAGUCCGCGUACCAUUAGCUUGUUGGUGGGGUAAUGGCCUACCAAGGCUGCGAUGGUUAGCUGGUCUGAGAGGAUGAUCAGCCACACUGGAACUGAGACACGGUCCAGACUCCUACGGGAGGCAGCAGUGAGGAAUAUUGCGCAAUGGGGGCAACCCUGACGCAGCAACGCCGCGUGAGUGAGGAAGGUUUUCGGACUGUAAAGCUCUGUCGAGCGGGAAGAAGUGUACCAUGGCUAAUAUCCAUGAUAUUUGACGGUACCGCUAGAGGAAGCACCGGCUAACUCCGUG
rnacentral:rRNA from 1 species